GGGUCGGUGGCGUAGUUGGCUAUCGCAUCUGUCUUACAUUGCGUGCACAGAAGGUCCUCAGUUCGAGCCUGGGUCGACUCA